rnacentral:rRNA from 1 species
UACGAAGGGGGGCUAGCGUUGCUCGGAAUUACUGGGCGUAAAGGGCGCGUAGGCGGGUCGUUUAGUUAGAGGUGAAAGCCCAGGGCUCAACCCUGGAAUUGCCUUUAAUACUGGCGGCCUUGAGUAUGGCAGAGGUGUGUGGAACUCCGAGUGUAGAGGUGAAAUUCGUAGAUAUUCGGAAGAACACCAGUGGCGAAGGCGACACACUGGGCCAUUACUGACGCUGAGGCGCGAAAGCGUGGGGAGCAAACAGG